rnacentral:tRNA from 1 species
GCCCUGGUAGCUCAAUUGGUUAGAGCGUCGGACUUUUAUCAGUUCCGACUUAUGAAGAGUGAUCCGAAGGCUGCGGGUUCGACCCCCGCCUGGGGCG